rnacentral:rRNA from 1 species
UACAGAGGUCUCAAGCGUUGUUCGGAUUCAUUGGGCGUAAAGGGUGCGUAGGCGGCGCGGUAAGUCGGGUGUGAAAUCUCGGAGCUUAACUCCGAAACUGCAUUCGAUACUGCCGUGCUUGAGGACUGGAGAGGAGACUGGAAUUUACGGUGUAGCAGUGAAAUGCGUAGAUAUCGUAAGGAAGACCAGUGGCGAAGGCGGAUCUCUGGACAGUUACUGACACUGAGGCACGAAGGCCAGGGGAGUAAACGGG